GCUUGUCUCAAAGAUUAAGCCAUGCACGUCUAAGUAUAAGCGAUUAUACUGUGAAACUGCGAAUGGCUCAUUAUAUCAGUUAUAGUUUAUUUGAUGGUCCUUGCUACUUGGAUAACCGUAGUAAUUCUAGAGCUAAUACAUGCAUAAAUCCCCGACUGCUUGGAAGGGGUGUAUUUAUUAGAUCUAACCAUCAUUUGGUGAAUCAUAGUAACUGAUCGGACCGUGCGUUAGCGCGGUAAAUCGUUCAAGUUUCUGCCCUAUCAGCUUUCGAUGGUAGUGUAUUGGACUACCAUGGCAGUCACGGGUAACGGAGAAUUAGGGUUCGGUUCCGGAGAGGGAGCCUGAGAAACGGCUACCACAUCUAAGGAAGGCAGCAGG
rnacentral:rRNA from 1 species